rnacentral:misc_RNA from 1 species
GAAAUGCGAUAAGUAAUGUGAAUUGCAGAAUUCAGUGAAUCAUCGAAUCUUUGAACGCACAUUGCGCCCGCCAGUAUUCUGGCAGGCAUGCCUGUCCGAGCGUCAUUUCAACCAUCAAGCCCCCGGGCUUGUGUUGGGGACCUGCGGCUGCCCGCAGGCCCUGAAAACCAGUGGCGGGCUCGCUGUCACACCGAGCGUAGUAGCAAUCACCUCGCUCAGGGCGUGCUGCGGGUUCCGGCCGUUAAACAGCCUUACAAAACCCAAGGUUGACCUCGGAUCAGGUAGGAAGAUCCGCUGAACUUAAGC